rnacentral:rRNA from 1 species
GACGAAUGCUGGCGGCGUGCCUAAUACAUGCAAGUUGAGCGCUGAAGGUUGGUACUUGUACCAACUGGAUGAGCAGCGAACGGGUGAGUAACGCGUGGGGAAUCUGCCUUUGAGCGGGGGACAACAUUUGGAAACGAAUGCUAAUACCGCAUAAAAACUUUAAACACAAGUUUUAAGUUUGAAAUAUGCAAUUGCAUCACUCAAAGAUGAUCCCGCGUUGUAUUAGCUAGUUGGUGAGGUAAAGGCUCACCAAGGCGAUGAUACAUAGCCGACCUGAGAGGGUGAUCGGCCACAUUGGGACUGAGACACGGCCCAAACUCCUACGGGAGGCAGCAGUAGGGAAUCUUCGGCAAUGGACGAAAGUCUGACCGAGCAACGCCGCGUGAGUGAAGAAGGUUUUCGGAUCGUAAAACUCUGUUGGUAGAGAAGAACGUUGGUGAGAGUGGAAAGCUCAUCAAGUGACGGUAACUACCCAGAAAGGGACGGCUAACUACGUG